CUCUGUCCGGAAGCAGGUCGCCAGCUGCCGUGUCCCUCCUUCUCGCCCCACCCCUCUUCCUGUCUCUGUCUCUCCCCUUCUCUCCCUGUCUCCGUCUCUCCCUCUCUCUGUCUGUCUCUCUUUUUUUCUGCACAAUGGCGUCCUUCGACUUCAGCCACACAUGGAUCAAAACCAGCCACCAGCGACCACGUGGGAGAGCCCCAGUGUCAGCCACAGACGGAGGAAGACAGUUCUCUUGGGUUCAGAUUUCUGAAUCCCACCGAGGGGCCCCUUUGACCACCCUGUCCAGCCGCCGGCUCUGGAUGAAUUGAUCGCGGCUGGGCCUGGGAAGUUCCAGCACCCUGACGCCAAGGACAUUGAGGAGACUUUUCUCGUUGCCCGAGAUUAGUGAGUGCAGCUCCAGUAUGAGGUGUUAGUCCAGCCACAUUAUGAACGCAGCCGCCUCGAGGGUGCACCCAAGACACUGCUCGGUUGUCCCCUCAGCCCCCAGGCACCAUGCCCGGUGGGAACCUCGGCCCAUUCGAGGAGAUGACUGGAGCGAGGGGAGGGACGGUUCCUGGGUGGUAGCUCCUGUGGAGUGAGACAAGACAAGGGUGGGAAAGGGGGCUUUCCUUCCGGAGAAGGGACGCCCCAGGACAACCCUCUGGCGUGGUGGGCUGGAGCGGAGGGGGCCUGUAUUCAGGGCCAGCUUCGCAGGCAUGUGAGCCGUGCACUCGCGCAGAAUGGCCCCUCAGUUGGUUUAAUGCUCUGCUCUCGCCAGCUUGGCGUUCUUAGUACGUGUUAAACAGUUCUGGGCCUGGGCCUGCAAACGGAGUGGCCAGUCCUGUGGCAGUCCUUCUCUCUUCAGAUGCUGCUCAGACAGCGGGCAUCCUAUCCUGUGCCCACGUCAACAGGAGAAAGAUGUCAGGGCAAAGUGAGGGUGGCACUGGGGCACCCAGUCCUCCCACUCCACUUGAGGUGGCAAGGCCAUGUGGGUUUCCACUGGUCCAGAAAACCCCAUGAAGGAGAACGGGCAGUAAAUUAUCUUGUCCCUACCUUGACCCGAAACACCUGUCCUUAUGCCAAGGGACCCUGGCAGCAAGAGACUUGGGGCCUGUUCUGACGGUGGAGGCUGAAGCAGAAUGGGGCACCGUGUCGGGCUUAGCAGGCUCUUCCACACCCGGGAACUGAGCCAUACAGAGGCUCUGCAGGGCUCUUCAAGGACUCAAAGUCUCUGAUGCUUCUUGAAGGCAGCCAUGGGAGCUGACACAUGAAGGAUAUUCGAGGAAGGAGGCCUGAUGAGCAGCGAACUGCAGCUGAGUCCCGGCAGAGAGGAGCCUGGCCCCACCUCUCCACUCCUCCCUCACUUCCUCCAGCUCCCAAGGAAAGAGAUGGAGGAGGCAUCCUCAGCCAGGUCCUGCUGCCAUUCCCGUGGUGAGUCCUGGCACUUUGGGGGAAGGGCAAGAUGAACUAUGAAAUGUCCCUGGGAUGGGAAGCUUCAAACUGGGAAGGAAUGAGCUUGAAAAAUCUGAAAGUCACCUGAAAGUCAUGGGACCUGACCUAGAUGUUGUGAAGGGACGCUUUAUGCAGCAGGGGUACCAAGUGCAUUCCCAGAGCCUGGCCGGGGGCAGUGAGCUGAGGAAAACACUGGCUUGAUGUAUCAGAUGGCGCCACAACACUCAUGAGGAAGGGGCCCUGGCAGACCAUGUGGAAUGUGCCCACCCCAGAGGAUCCGCCUCCAGGAGGGGUGGGGCCCCAUGCCCUAGACUUGAGUGAGCUCACAGCCACGCGGGGGCCCAGCUGCCCAGAGUCCUAGAACCACAUGAGAAUGCAUGCUCCCUGAGAUGGCUGCAUUGUGUCUCCCUGCUGCAGACAGGCUGGGGCUCUGCAUUCAGAACAAGCCCACUGAACACAUUGGCAGAUGCCCUGAGGAGUGCCCUGGUUCAGAGCUGUGUUUCACCAAUGUUAUGCCAACACCAGAAUCCUCUGCUGGAAAACUUGCUAAAACACACAUUGUUUUGGCUUCUGGCCUGGGGUUUGGAUCAGAGGUCUGGGCUGGGGUGGGGGUGAGGGCUGAGAAUGGGCAUUUCUAACACAUUCCCAGACCACACAGGAGAGCUGGCAAUCUGCACAUCUGCCUCACCUGGGAGCUUCUGAAGAUGUAAGUUGGGGAAACGGGGGCCUUAUCUGCCUUCCUCAGGUUCCACCCCAGCAUCUGGAACUCCGCCUAGCAGACGGCUGAGAGGUCCUCGCAGGCAGGAACUGCUGUAUUCGUCUUUCUACAACGCACGGUUCUCGGGAAGUUCUGUUCACCAUUUGAAGAGGCCAUCACAAUGCUCAGAAGAUAAUCAAAGAAGCUACUUAAGAAUAACAUGCCCUUUUAGAGACUAAAAGCAAACAAUCCCCGUGCUGAACUUGGAAUGGUAAUGAGCUCGGGCAGGAGCCCAACCGCCACCUCCCUGGCCGACCCACCCAGCUGGGAUAUUUGCAUUUGACACAAACCAUUUUAUGAUGCUGUAAAUUUCACAUUUUUACAGUUACAGGUCUGAAUCAUCAUGAAAACCAUUUCUGCACAUAUCUUUGGUAAAUGGAAUUAAAAUUUCCACGUGAUCUGAAAACGCUAAAUUGCUAGUAGCUUCUCUAGGGCUUUGCAGCUGGCUUUGGCCUCUGCUGACCUCGUCAUUGUUUAGGCAUAUAAAAAUCACAGUUUAGGCUGAUGAGCCUAAUUUAAGUCUGCAGGCAAUUUUCAGUCCAUUUUUGCUGCUUUUUCAUGUUCUUCACCACAGAAAAAGCCAUUUUAUAAGCAACCUGGGUACCAAAUUACAGACCUCAAUUUAAAAACCUGGCAUAUAUUAUAAACAUCACUGUAUCUAUUGCCAUUCUCUAAACCAUUCAUUUGUAACAUUCAAUCACAAUGUGUAAUCCUUGGGUUUUCAGUUGUUUCAUUCAGUGGUUGGCCCUUAAACAAAUCUGCUCUUCCAUUUAACAUUUUCUUAGAGAUGGUUUUAACCUCAUUCAUUUGAAGUUUUGAAUUUGUUCUUUUUAUACGUGCUUUAAUUUUAGGUCAUACAGCUUUUUGAAGCACACUCAAGCCAGUUUCUUGGCUCUAGAUAAGCAUUUGAUUUAAAAGUUGUCUUUGAGCUGUUAAAUAACUGUUCUUACGAAUACUGUGUGCUCGAUGGGAAUUCCUCUGAGUUUUUCAUUCACUGGGAUUUUCUUGGUGGAUUCGGUAUGUUUUGGGUAAAGAACAUAAGAUAGGGGAUGUGUUCUCAAGACAAUAAAUGCAACACACUGUUCUUGAUUUAACCAUGAAAAGAAAGCUUGCACCUUCUUGAAAACAUCUUUGGCACCAAAUGAAGGCGUUGAUUAUUUGUGUGGCUAUUACCUGCCAUAGUUGAUCAACAAACACUCGCUGAAUACUGAGCAGGAAGUAAAGUGGCUGACGGGCUCGGGACAGUGGUAUUAUCUUGCCUGCAAUCUUGAGGACCCAGGACUGGAAGACCAGUGAGUGUAUUGGUUGAGGCUUGUAGACCCUUUUCUCCCACCAAAUGUGUGUGGUUGAUGGUGUAACAGGGAGAUGGAAAAUGGACUAUUAAUUUUUCCUGAGAGUAAGUGAAAACUGAAGAACCUGGACACAUCUGUAAAGGUUCUGAUGAAUCCGUCUCGUCCUUAGAGUUUUGGGUCCUGUGAGAUGCUGGAUCUGCCUUUCGGAUUCAUGUUGAGAAUCUCCCAGGGGAUCCUGCCUGCUUCAGCCUCAUCUCACUGUCCCUAGUUUAUGUUUUCCAAAUGUAAAUGUGAUUUGAUUAUGCCCUCUUUAAAAUUCUUCAAAGUUCUCCUUUGGUUCAGAGGGGAAAAAUACGAAUGAGUUGGCAAGACCUCUGCAACUAGCAUCAGUUGGCCCCAAGUCACCCAUCUGGACAUGCCC